AUACGGAGGGUGCAAGCGUUACUCGGAAUCACUGGGCGUAAAGGACGCGUAGGCGGCUUCAUAAGUCAGGUGUGAAAGCCCACGGCUCAACCGUGGAACUGCACUUGAAACUGUGAUGCUAGAGUCUGGGAGAGGCAGUUGGAAUUGGUGGUGUAGGGGUAAAAUCCGUAGAGAUCACCAGGAAUAACGAUGGCGAAGGCGAUCUGCUGGAACAGUACUGACGCUGAGGCGUGAAAGCGUGGGGAGCAAACAGGAUUAGAAACCCUAGUAGUCC
rnacentral:rRNA from 1 species